AAAAACUUAGGAUAAACAAACCAAGGGCCUUCAAAGCCCAAAAUAAGGGUGCAAGUCCCCUAGUUUUU
rnacentral:tRNA from 1 species